rnacentral:rRNA from 1 species
AAAUUGAAGAGUUUGAUCAUGGCUCAGAUUGAACGCUGGCGGCAGGCCUAACACAUGCAAGUCGAGCGGUAGCACAGAGAGCUUGCUCUCGGGUGACGAGCGGCGGACGGGUGAGUAAUGUCUGGGAAACUGCCUGAUGGAGGGGGAUAACUACUGGAAACGGUAGCUAAUACCGCAUAACGUCGCAAGACCAAAGUGGGGGACCUUCGGGCCUCAUGCCAUCAGAUGUGCCCAGAUGGGAUUAGCUAGUAGGUGGGGUAAUGGCUCACCUAGGCGACGAUCCCUAGCUGGUCUGAGAGGAUGACCAGCCACACUGGAACUGAGACACGGUCCAGACUCCUACGGGAGGCAGCAGUGGGGAAUAUUGCACAAUGGGCGCAAGCCUGAUGCAGCCAUGCCGCGUGUGUGAAGAAGGCCUUCGGGUUGUAAAGCACUUUCAGCGGGGAGGAAGGCGAUAAGGUUAAUAACCUUGUCGAUUGACGUUACCCGCAGAAGAAGCACCGGCUAACUCCGUGCCAGCAGCCGCGGUAAUACGGAGGGUGCAAGCGUUAAUCGGAAUUACUGGGCGUAAAGCGCACGCAGGCGGUCUGUCAAGUCGGAUGUGAAA